AUGGUUGGCGCAUACUCUGGUGUGAAGGUGGGACUCCGCGAAGACGUCGCACAGUACCUGGAAUUGUGUAUUGUGCACAACCUUGUGCUGAGACAAGGGAAAACCGCCAUCUUAUUGCUCACUCAAUGCCUCCAUAACACCAAUUUUUCACUCCCGGGCUUUGCAGCAGCCCGGUGUACUUUCCAUAAUACGCCUAUUACACAGGCAUCCUCACUAGCCAUCGCUUACACAAUUACCCGUGUGAUUUUCUCCAUCCCGGCGUGGUUGCCAUCGUCUUCGGUCCCCACCCAGUAUAACUUCGGGAACCCAUGGAAACAGAUGACAUGUGCUAAUAACAGCAUCUUUGGGAAGAUGAUUUUGCUUUUCAUGAAGAAAGAAUGUUUUGAACUGUUGUACUGGAAUUUCAGUGCCUGCAAUGUUGAAGGUGACACCAGCUCGGAUAUGUAUUGUUUGGGGGUCAUAAAUGACCUUUGGAGCAUUUAUAAAAGUGGUAGUUACAGAAAACUUAUUAUCCUGAUGCUGAGAAGCAAACACUUUAAGAGGAUAUCGACGGGAUAAUAUUCACUGGAGAAAUAAUUCCUUACUUUUAAAGCCUCCAUCUUGGCCAGUUACCUUAGCCGAACUUUGGAUAAUGGUAAUGUGUGGUUUGUUUUGGGCUAAGAGCUAAGAGUCUGUGUUGUUAAUGACUGACACGCAGAGACCAUGUGUGUCAAAGCUGGGUUAACUAGAGAGGAAAAGCUGUGUGAGAAUAACCUGAUUGUGCCAAGAGGUCAUAUUUUAAACAUACAGUCAACCCUCUGGAACCGCAAUUUCCGCAUCUGCAAAGUCAACCGACCAGAGCCUGUGGAUUCAGAUAUCCGCUCUACUAGACCAUUUUAUGUAAAGGGCUUGAGCAUCCUUG
rnacentral:lncRNA from 1 species